rnacentral:miRNA from 17 species
AUUCCCAGUGAGAUGAAGCGCA